rnacentral:rRNA from 1 species
UACAGAGGGUGCAAGCGUUGUUCGGAAUUAUUGGGCGUAAAGCGCGUGUAGGCGGCAUGGCAAGUCGGGUGUGAAAGCCCUCAGCUUAACUGAGGGAGUGCGCCCGAAACUGCCGUGCUUGAGUGCCGGAGAGGGUGGCGGAAUUCCCCAAGUAGAGGUGAAAUUCGUAGAUAUGGGGAGGAACACCGGUGGCGGAGGCGGCCACCUGGACGGUAACUGACGCUGAGACGCGAAAGCGUGGGGAGCAAACAGG